CAGGAUAAACGCUGGCGGCGUGCUUAACACAUGCAAGUCGAACGAAGUUUUUCUUUCGGGAGGAACUUAGUGGCGGACGGGUGAGUAACGCGUGGGUAACCUGCCCUGUACAGGGGGACAACAGCUGGAAACGGCUGCUAAUACCGCAUAAGCCCUUAGCACUGCAUGGUGCAUAGGGAAAAGGAGCAAUCCGGUACAGGAUGGACCCGCGUCUGAUUAGCCAGUUGGCAGGGUAACGGCCUACCAAAGCGACGAUCAGUAGCCGAUCUGAGAGGAUGUACGGCCACAUUGGGACUGAGACACGGCCCAGACUCCUACGGGAGGCAGCAGUGGGGAAUAUUGCACAAUGGAGGAAACUCUGAUGCAGCGACGCCGCGUGAGUGAAGAAGUAUUUCGGUAUGUAAAGCUCUAUCAGCAGGGAAGAAAAUGACGGUACCUGACUAAGAAGCACCGGCUAAAUACGUGCCAGCAGCCGCGGUAAUACGUAUGGUGCAAGCGUUAUCCGGAUUUACU
rnacentral:rRNA from 1 species